rnacentral:hammerhead_ribozyme from 1 species
AUCCAGCUGACGAGUUCCAAAUAGGAUGAAAUGCGCGUCAAUUUGGAU